rnacentral:lncRNA from 1 species
AUGUACUGGAACAUGCUAUCUAAAUCCCCUAACGGUCGCUUUUGUAAUCUCUGCUUGCUAACUUCCCCUUGCAACCCCUAUAAAAGAGCCUCAGACUCUGAGCCAGUUGCCUGUCUAAGCUACUUUGCUUUGGGAGUGCCGUCUGGCCAGACUAAUAAAGGUCUGAUUUUUACUUUCCAACUUGUCCGGUGUGUUCCCUCCCGGGUGUUCUUCACUACAGUCAGCUCCUCGGAGCGUUUGGGCGGAAUAUUGAUCCCCAGGCCUCCUGCAUGUCAGGCAAAUGCUUCACAACUGAGCUAUACACCCAGUUGUAAUACUUUUAUUUCUUAUUUGCAUUUGUCAUUAUACAUCUUGCUCCAACUGAGGAAACUGAAGAACCAAUCUAUAUCCAUGGCUCCUGGAGGAUUCUGUGGAUGUGGCAUUGCAACUGUGAAGAUGACCUUGAGACUGGAACUCAACUGCACCAUGAGUAUGCAGAUUGUGGACAAUUAUUUCUUCAGUGUUCCUUCAUCAGAAAUUUAAGCAUAUCUUGAGGAUAGGUAUACUUCACUAGAGGGAAAUACAAGUUUUGAAAGCAUGUUUUUUGCUUUUUGUUUUUUUCAGUGCCAGGAAAUAUUUUUUCCCUCAUACAUGCCAGGCAGCAGAUACUCUAUAGCAAACCUAUAUCCCCAGCCCUCAAAAUGCAAGUUUUUAAAAGGGGUUAAAUUGGAGAGAAAUUUUAACCAUAGCAACCAUUAAUUUGGCACUUAAUAUGUGCCAGAUCCUGCUAAAUGUUUCAUUAUCCAUUAGUUCAUUUGAUUCUGAGAACAAUUUCCUGAGAUAGAUGCUAUUAUUAGUUUCAUUUUAUAGUUGUGGGAAACUAAAUUUAGAAAAGUUAAGCAAUUUUUCCAAAUUUUCAUCUUGGAAGUGAUGGAGUGAGAUUUGAAACUCAAUUCUUUCUAACUCUAGAACCAAAGAAAAGAAAAGAAAGUAAAAGGGCUAAUUAAGAUCACUCAAUAGUCUCUGCCAACUAAGCUCUAGCAUUCUUCCCUUGCUGUAAAUAACAACUGAUAUACAGAUUUAAUGCAAUCCCAAUCAAAAUUCCUCACAGAACUAGAGAAAACAAGCCUAAAAUUCAUAUGGAGCCAGAAUAACAAAAGCAAUCCUGAUCAAUAAGAGCCAAACAGAAGACAUCAUAAUCCUCACUUCAAAUGAUACUACAAAGCUAGACCGAUUUAAAAAGUUGGCAUGAUAUUGGGCCAAGAACAGACAUGUGGAUCAGUAGAAUGGAAGAGAACAUGCAGAAAUAUCUUCAGACACAAGCUACUUGACCUUUGACAAAGGUGCCAAAAACAUACACUGGAGGAAAGAGAGCCUCUUUAGCAAACAGUUGUGAGAAAACUGGCUAUAGUGGACUCUUGACUUACAAACUCAAUUUAUUCCUAAGGGCUGGUUGAACUCAAGUCAGUCAAUGAAGGCUCAGGCUCCUCUACACAGCCUUCAAAAUCUCUCCCCUAUAUACAGGCAGAUCUUAGUGUCUUUAGAGAGAUAUUGGCCCAGGCCUUCCUCAAUUAACCCCACACAGGAAAGUAUGUUAUAAUGUUCCAUCCAGAACUCUCUAAGGGUUAAAUCUGUACGUGAUGAAAUACUACUCAGCUAUAAAGAAGGACAAUUUCAAGGCAUUUGUAGGAAAAUAGGAACACCUGGAAAACAUAAUAUUAAGUGAAAUUAAUCCGACACACAAGGUUAAAUAUCAUGAAAUUUCUCUCGAGUAAUGCAAAGUACAGUUAAUAACAAAACAGAAGAUUAAUAAAAGGAAACAAAGAGAUUGAUCUUUUGCAAAUGAGAAGGGGUCCAAGAGACUGAGGGUGAAGGGAAUGGGGAAGGGAACGUAAAAAGAUUUAACAUGUCAUGUACACGUACCAAAUACCCAUAGUGAAUGUAAACAUUAUACGUCAGAAACAUGAACUAAAUGAUACUAAAAAUAAUAACAGAGAAAGGGAGUCUAGAAACAGGAAAGCAGGUGAGUGGAGAGGGAAAGGGGAAUAAAAAAUAAUAAAGAUAUGUCAUGUACACAUACCCACUCCCUAAGAUGAAUGUAAACUUUGUGUACUGCAAACACGUACUAAUGAAUUAAAUUUUAAAAAGAGAGAGAAUUGGAUUUGCCCUAAAUGGAGAAAGAGGUAAUGUAGUAUAUUUUCUAGAAAAAAAAGGGGGGGACUUUUUUAACAGCAGAAAUAGUAAAUCAUUCCUCUUGGUCUUUCUUCCAUGUUCAUGAAAAGUAUUAGAAAUAGAGCAAGAAGCAUUUCUCCAUAAUGAAAUACAUCAAGUAUUUAUUAAUUACUCAGAAUAACAGUAUCAAUAGAAUAAUUAUCUUGAAAACAGGUCUUAUCUGAUGCCUAAGAGGUAUGGCACUGUUUGUAAUUUCAAUGCCCUUUUUGCCUUAUGCAGUUAGUAUUAACAUUUUUGGAGUAUUGGGAUUGAACCCAGGGCCUUCAUACUGUGCUAUAUCGCCACCUCUUUUUUACUUUUUUAUUUUGAGACAGUGUCUGGUUAAGUCACUAAGUUGCCCGGGCUGGACUUGAAUUUGUGAUCUUCCUGCCUCAGCCUUCCAGAGUGCUGAUAUUAUAGGUGUAUACCACCCACAUACCUUAUAUUUCUUCUUAAAACUCCUUCAAAAGAGAGAAAGUUUUAUCAGGGCCAUUCCCAACAUUUCAGUCCUCCUAAUAUUGUAGAUAGGUAAGUUAAUUAGAUAUCUUGUAGGCAGUUAGACAGGGCCAAUGCAUGAGGAGCCAAUAUGUAAGACAAUUGAGCCAACAUGGAGGACAAUCAAGACAUUCUCUGAAAGCCAGCAUUGUAAAGGAAGAGAAACUAGCCCAGCCGCAUAGCAUGAAAAGCAGUGAUUGAUAUUCAAAACAGGUAUCAAUCACCGGGGUGAGGGACCAAGAUCUUCCAAGUAAGAUCCCUGACCCACCCCUUACCACCAAAAAUCUUUGCUCAUUCCUUAUAUGCUUACUACGUGACUUGUUUCCCCAUUGGAUCCCCAUUUAAUCAAUAUUACCUAAGUGACUAUACUUAUCAUAAUCUUACUGGUUGUUCAUAGUUUUGUCCACCUUAUGAUUUCCCAUUGGACCAGUAUUACCUAAGAGACUGUACUUGUAAUCUCACUAGUUGACUAUAAUUUUGUCCCACCUUGAACCUGCCUCAUCUUGUGGCUUUGUCCCAAAAAACAUCUUUGAGAAGUUGGGCAAGCGGGCAACCCAUUUUCUGGUCCCCCUUCUGUCUUUCUUAUACAGAAGCUAUCUUUCUCUCAAUAAAUUUUUCCUACUCUUAACUUCCAUUGUCAUUCUUCUUUUUUAGAGAACACGAACUUGCAAUUUGGAUAUCUAGUAGAUUUGGGAGUUACAUCUCUUCCCCGUAUAUCACUACUGUAUUUCCUCCACUCAUCCCCCAGCUUAUCUUGCCCAAUGUGGACUCUGCCUUUUGAAGCCCUGCUUGCUUCAGUGGUUGUUGAAACCACUAAAUACAUGCCUGACUCUUUGGUAAGAGGAAGAAAUUUGCCCGUAUUUCUUUGAGAGCACUGAGACACAAAUACCAAAGCAUGAUGGUCAGUUUAGCAUUUCUGGUUUUCAAUUUCUUUCCAUCCUUGCUGAGAAUAUAAGAACAACCCAAAGCACUUGCUGGACAGCAUUCCAGUUUUUCAAUCACCUUUAAACCCUCACAUUCCCCUGUCAGGGCACUCUGCAUUUGAUCCCAAUCUCGGGUGCAUCUGUCACUUAUGGCUGACUAGCUGGGAAAGGACAGACCUGUUUGGGUCCUAGGCUGCAUGUUUAUGUCAGAAGAUCUGAGCAGUUCCUGGAAGGGAGGCACCUCCUGGCUAAAGCUGUGCUUCCCUCUGUGCAUGGACAUAGCCCUGGGGCAUGGGCCUGGGUUUCCAAGUCUCCCCCAGGAGCGAUUUGAGCAGGGACUUGUCCAUUCUUUCUUUUCAUCCAGCCACACAGAGGUGAGCCACAGGAAAGUAACUACAUGCAGGUGUGCUGUCUUAUUUUAACAUUGAAUGCUCAGCAAGGAUCUUGCAGCCAGGGAGGGGGCGCUUUUAAGCAGUGAGUGCUGGCCUUGCCUUAGAGAGGCUUCUGCGUAGUGUUC